CUACGGGCUGCAGCAGUGGGGAAUAUUGCACAAUGGGCGCAAGCCUGAUGCAGCCAUGCCGCGUGUAUGAAGAAGGCCUUCGGGUUGUAAAGUACUUUCAGCGGGGAGGAAGGGAGUAAAGUUAAUACCUUUGCUCAUUGACGUUACCCGCAGAAGGAGCACCGGCGAACUCCGUGCCAGCAGCCGCGGUAAUACGGAGGGUGCAAGCGUUAAUCGGAAUUACUGGGCGUAAAGCGCACGCAGGCGGUUUGUUAAGUCAGAUGUGAAAUCCCCGGGCUCAACCUGGGAACUGCAUCUGAUACUGGCAAGCUUGAGUCUCGUAGAGGGGGGUAGAAUUCCAGGUGUAGCGGUGAAAUGCGUAGAGAUCUGGAGGAAUACCGGUGGCGAAGGCGGCCCCCUGGACGAAGACUGACGCUCAGGUGCGAAAGCGUGGGGAGCAAACAGGAUUAGAUACCCCCGUAGUC
rnacentral:rRNA from 1 species